GGAAUGAGUGGCAUCGAAAAAUCUACUCUUGCCAAAGCAGUUUACAACAAUCUUUCUCGGGACUUUGAUAACUGUUGUUUUCUUGCUGAUGUUAGAGAAACUUCACAUUCAAAAGGAAUCUGAGUGUUUGCGGGCUCGACUAAUCUCAAACCUCUCGAAACAGGGACACCCAAGUAUCAAUUCCAAGGACAAGGGAAUAAUGACCAUAGAAGAGAUAUUUUCAACUAAGAAAGUUCUUAUUCUUCUAGAUGAUGUUGAUGAAAAGGAUCAAUUGACUGCACUUUUAGGGAGGCGAGGUUGCUUUGGUCCAGGAAGUCGGAUACUUAUAACAACAAGAAAUAUAAAUGUUCCACGUGCAUUCCAAGUAAAAUUGACUUAUUUAGUUGGUGGUUUGGAUCCCGAUAGAUCCAUUCAACUAUUUAGCAAGCAUGUUUUCAGAAGAGAUCACCCUCGAAUUGAGAAGAUGGAACAAUCUAGAGAAAUUGUGAGGAUAGCCGAAGGUCUUCCAUUGAUUCUAGAGGUUAUGAGUUCAACUUUAUCAAUAUGUGGACAAAAAGAAGAAAUCCGGGAUGAUUACUUGGUGAGAUGGAAAAAAGGUCAUAUCAAGGGAAUUGGAAGUAAGUUGAUGAUAAGUUAUAACGCACUAGAUUCUAGUCAAGGAUAAAUAUUUCUUGAUAUAGCUUGCCUUUUCGAUGGAUAUGAAAAGAAUACGGUAAUAUACAUAUGGAAAGACUGUGGCUUAUGCCUAAUAGAAGGUCUUGAAGUUCUUUAGUUGAUGUCAUUGAUAAAAAUUGGAGAAGGUAAUAAGUUGCGGAUGCACAAUCAACUCAAAUAUCUCGGUAGAGAAAUUGUUUCUCAAGAAAGUGGGGGGCGAAUUAAAUAAGCAAACUAGGCUAUGGAAUCAUAAGCACGCAUUGGAGAUAUUACUGAGCGAGAAGAGAAAUGCAAAGCUUGAAGCCCUCAAUUUGAAGUUUGAGAAAUGGUCAAAGUAUCGUUUCACUCUUGAAGGAUUUGCGGCUCUUCCAAAUCUAAGAUUCCUUCAUGUGGAUAGCGCUUCCCUCUCUUGUGAUAUAGUUGAGCGUUUUUUAUCCCAAG